rnacentral:rRNA from 1 species
AGUGAACGCUGGCGGUAGGCCUAACACAUGCAAGUCGAACGAAGUCUUCGGACUUAGUGGCGGACGGGUGAGUAACACGUGGGAACGUGCCUUUAGGUUCGGAAUAACUCAGGGAAACUUGUGCUAAUACCGAAUGUGCCCUUCGGGGGAAAGAUUUAUCGCCUUUAGAGCGGCCCGCGUCUGAUUAGCUAGUUGGUGAGGUAAAGGCUCACCAAGGCUACGAUCAGUAGCUGGUCUGAGAGGAUGACCAGCCACAUUGGGACUGAGACACGGCCCAGACUCCUACGGGAGGCAGCAGUGGGGAAUCUUGCGCAAUGGGCGAAAGCCUGACGCAGCCAUGCCGCGUGGAUGAUGAAGGUCUUAGGAUUGUAAAAUCCUUUCACCGGUGAAGAUAAUGACUGUAGCCGGAGAAGAAGCCCCGGCUAACUUCGUGCCAGCAGCCGCUGUAAUAC